UCCGCGAGAACCGGGCAGAUCGCCUCGAC
rnacentral:piRNA from 1 species